rnacentral:rRNA from 1 species
ACGAACGCUGGCGGCAUGCCUAACACAUGCAAGUCGAACGAGACCUUCGGGUCUAGUGGCGCACGGGUGCGUAACGCGUGGGAACCUGCCCUUAGGUUCGGAAUAACUCCCCGAAAGGGGUGCUAAUACCGGAUAAUGUCUUCGGACCAAAGAUUUAUCGCCUUUGGAUGGGCCCGCGUUGGAUUAGCUAGUUGGUAGGGUAAAAGCCUACCAAGGCGACGAUCCAUAGCUGGUCUGAGAGGAUGAUCAGCCACACUGGGACUGAGACACGGCCCAGACUCCUACGGGAGGCAGCAGUGGGGAAUAUUGGACAAUGGGCGAGAGCCUGAUCCAGCAAUGCCGCGUGAGUGAUGAAGGCCUUAGGGUUGUAAAGCUCUUUUACCCGGGAUGAUAAUGACAGUACCGGGAGAAUAAGCUCCGGCUAACUCCGUG